GUGGGGAAUAUUGGACAAUGGGCGAAAGCCUGAUCCAGCCAUGCCGCGUGUGUGAAGAAGGUCUUCGGAUUGUAAAGCACUUUAAGUUGGGAGGAAGGGCAGUAAGUUAAUACCUUGCUGUUUUGACGUUACCGACAGAAUAAGCACCGGCUAACUUCGUGCCAGCAGCCGCGGUAAUACGAAGGGUGCAAGCGUUAAUCGGAAUUACUGGGCGUAAAGCGCGCGUAGGUGGUUUUGUAAGUUGGAGGUGAAAUCCCCGGGCUCAACCCGGGAACUGCCUCCAAAACUGCAUGACUAGAGUACGGUAGAGGGUAGUGGAAUUUCCUGUGUAGCGGUGAAAUGCGUAGAUAUAGGAAGGAACACCAGUGGCGAAGGCGACUACCUGGACUGAUACUGACACUGAGGUGCGAAAGCGUGGGGAGCAAACAGGAUUAGAAACCCCUGUAGUCC
rnacentral:rRNA from 1 species